rnacentral:tRNA from 1 species
UAGAUAUAGCCGGCCUAGCUCAAUUGGUAGAGCAACUGACUUGUAAUCAGUAGGUUGGGGGUUCAAGUCCUCUGGC